GGAUUAGGCAUGCAAGUCGCACGAGAAAGGCUUCUUCGGAAGCCGAGUAAAGUGGCGAACGGGUGAGUAAUGCAUAGACAACUCGCCCUUGAGAUGGGGACAACGCCUCGAAAGGGGUGCUAAUACCCAAUGCCGCCUUGGGCCUGCGGGUCCAGGGUGAAAGGAGCCCUCUGAUUCAAGCUUCCGCUCAAGGAGAGGUUUAUGUCCUAUUAGCUAGUUGGCGGGGUAACGGCCCACCAAGGCUGCGAUGGGUAGCCGACCUGAGAGGGUGACCGGCCACAUUGGGACUGAGACACUGCCCAGACUCCUACGGGAGGCUGCAGUCGAGAAUCUUCCGCAAUGCGCGCAAGCGUGACGGAGCGACGCCGCGUGGGUGAUGAAGGCCUUCGGGUUGUAAAACCCUGUCAGCUACUACGAAACACGGGCGAUGAACAAUCGUCCCGUCUGACUUAAGUAGCAGAGGAAGCACCGGCUAACUACGUGCCAGCAGCCGCGGUAAUACGUAGGGUGCGAACGUUGUUCGGAAUCACUGGGCAUAAAGGGCGCGUAGGCGGUCUGAUAAGUCAGGUGUGAAAUCCCUCGGCCUAACCGAGGAACUGCAUUUGAUACUGUCGGGCUAGAGUACAGGAGGGGAGAGUGGAAUUCCUGGUGGAGCGGUGAAAUGCGUAGAUAUCAGGAGGAACGCCGGCGGCGAAAGCGACUCUCUGGCCUGUUACUGACGCUGAGGCGCGAAAGCUAGGGGAGCAAACGGGAUUAGAUACCCCGGUAGUCCUAGCCCUAAACGAUGGGCACUAAGUAGAGGGGUUUU
rnacentral:rRNA from 1 species